CUUCACAUUGACUGCCAUAGCUCAGUGUUUAGAGCAUUCUCUGGCUAGAGGGAAAACACCCCUUUUCAAAUUGCGUCUGCAUGAGGGAAUCCCAAACUGCUGGGAAACCAGAGGUGCACCUGCCACUGCCUAAGUCCAGAGAAGAAUGGUUCCUGAGGGUCUUUCAUGCAUGUGCAAACAUAAGGUCUCCAAAGAAUCUCUGCAGCUGUCACUUCACUUGCCUCUGGUGCUUAGGCAUCUCAGCUUGCAGUAUCAUCAGUAACACAACUGAGCAAUGAUGGAGAAGGAUGUCUGCUGAGUAGAAAACAGUCUUUUGAUUCCUCUUCACACAUUUGUAGACGGACUCCACCCCCCCACCCACGCCAACCCACUGAUGUGCAAAACUCCGAUUGAUGUCAAUGGAGGAUCUACCCGUGUAUGAAAAGUGGAAUAUGCAGAAGAUUCAAGAAUAUGUUGGGAAGGCCAUUAAAUAUGUGAGGAAAGGGAAGGUGAUGCCAGAGAUCCAAAGUCAUCCUAUCAUGAUGUCAGCCCAGAUGAGUCUCUGGUGUACCCCCAGCACGAAUCACAGGCGAAUGCAGACACAAUGGAAAGGUAGCUAAGAAGAACACUGCUCCCUGUCUGUUCUGAAAAUAUGGGAAGGGCCAGCUUCUUUCCCCAUGCAGCCAGUCUGCUUGUGCCACCUAAAGUCCAGGAUGGAUCCUCAUCAGAGUGUAAGAUCUUCUAUAGCAGGUGGAGUAGUAUAUUUGUGUGUCAACAAGAACAAUCUUUCUGGGGUUUGGGUUUUCUGAAUUUUACAGCUGUAAUCCAAAUGUAAACUCCUUUGGCUUUUAUGCUUCUAUCCUGAAUACUGCUGACUACUAGAAAGGGCUAUAUAUAAAUAGUACUGCUAUUUUCUCUCAUCAGCCCUAAAUGAGUUACAAUUUUAUAGCUUAAACCAGAGAAUUCCAUGUGGUGUUUCUCCUUAGCUAUCCAAUGGGUAAUUGCACUACUAAUUUAGUAGCUACCUCAGGCUGUACACUGGGAAUAGCAUGUACACAAACACACAUACACAUUGUGCUGUGUUAUAAAUCCUACAGUCUGAAACUUAUUUAAACCUAUCUAAAUUUAAUAGAAUGUGCCUGACUUAAUACCCUGAAACUUGAACUCAAACCCGAAUUUCUAACCCCAAAAACUUUAUAUUUAGUGUAAGGAAGAAAUCUAGACUCAAACCUGGAUCUCAACUCCAAAAUCCUAACCUAGGGUCUGAUUUUGAAUAUAAUGGGCUGAACAGGAAAAUCUGAACAGCCCCAAACUUUGUGGGUGAAGGAAAUAAGAAUGCAAACUCAGAGUUACAUUUUCUGGCUUAGGCUCAUCUAAAUAAUGUUAAUAAUUAUGGGAAUGAUUUUCAGUAGUGCCGAGGGCAUUUAGGAGCACAAGCCCCAUUGGUUUUCAUGGGGACAUGUGCUGCUAAAUCCCUUCAGAGACUUUGCAAAUCUUAACUACAUUGUAUUAAUGAAAGGAAACAAGUUAUUGCAGUUUAUUCAAAGGUAUCCCAAUUUGUCCAAAAAGAAUCCACAAGUUAGUAGGAGGUAGCUGUAAAAGCAAAGCACAUCCACCAGGAACUUUUAGAAUUUUGUAUAUUGCAAAUAAGGAUAUAUCCUGACUGUUUGGGAGAAAAGCCAAGUUAUAGUCAAGACUACUGCGUUUAUUUCUUUCCAGUUUUAGUACAUUUUAUACUCCUGGGAGAAUUCUACACCAAAAAAUUAAAAAUUCUGCACACAAUAUUUUAAAAUUCUGCAUGAUUCUGCAUAUUUUUUUACAAAAUAAUAAAAUAUAACCAUGCCAGUUUCAAUUAUUUUGGUAAUUUAUUUCAAAAUACCUGUCAGCAAGUAUGCCUGUAACAAUAUAGAAAACAAAAAAGAUUCAGGAAAUGUUUCUGACAAAUAGAUUUUUACUAGAUAUAUUAAUACAGAACUUUGAGUAAUAAUUCAUUUAAACCACAAUACAGAAACAUUUCCUGCACCCCUCAGAAACAUUGCAAAGGCUUGGGAGAGUCAAGGGUAAUGAAGGAGCUGAUGAAGAGGAAAGUAAUUGCUAGGAAUGAGCCUGGAGGGCUAUUGGCUAUAGGAGGGAGAAGUAUGGAACAAUGUUUUUGCAGGGAGGAUUGUUAGGGAGUGGGAGAGCCUCCCCCCACUCAGACUUUGGCUGACCCCUAGCCUCUCUUAUUCAGUCAGGCACAUUUACCCCUGUCCCCAUGUGUCCCUGUACCCCCACUCAGCCACCCCUCCCGCAUCCCUAUGUGUCCCUGCACAUCCCACCCUGUGUCCCCAUGUGUCCCUACGCCCCCACUCAGCUACCCCUCCCCAUCCCCAUGUGUCUCUGCAUCCCCUCCCCCCUUCCCAUAUGUCCCUGCACUCCCACUCAGCCAUCCUCUUCCCCCACCCCCACAUGUCCCUGCACCCCCUUCUGCCUAUGGCCCUGCACCCCCCCAGUCCCAUUCAGCCCCACCCCAGUCUGUCCCCCCCUUAGCCCUUCUGAACACCAGUCUGUGAUCACUCAUCAGAACCAAUUGCCUCAUAUUGUCCCCCUCCAUAUCCUGUGCUUCCUCAUCUGGCCCAUGGGCAGGACGCUGUGAGGAACACAGACUCUUCUCGUCUCUCUCCCCUCUCUGUGGCUGGCUACUUUUGACUGGGAGUGGCUUCCCUCUGUUCUGGUGCACAGCAGCCUCUGGUGGGUGAAAGGCAUAACUGCAGUGUCUCUCUGGCAAUAUGUAUUUUCUGCUGAAAAAAAAAAUUCGGCAGAGGAUAAGAAUUCUGCAUGCGCGCAGUACCUCAGAAUUCCCCCAGAAGUAAUUUAUUAAAAUGAAGAAAUUUCAAGAUCGAGAAGAAAAAUACAAAUGUUUCCAUUAUUCCCUACUAAAAUGCAGAUCAAACAUAAAAGUACUAUAUAUUUCUUCUGAGACUAUGAAUCCGCUGAAAAACUUUUGCAUAAGGAUUACAAAAUUUUCAAGAUGGAAUGAUUCAGGGUUGGAGGUGGAUCUAGAUGGCACCCAAAUUCAGGAAUACAACCAUUUGUUCUUCCUGAUGUUCCUUUGACACUAAAGAAAUGUGUCAGAGUGCUUAAAGGGCUAUUUAUGACCAUUUGUUGUUGAUGAUUUUGCCGUUAGAGCUAUUUUGUUCUCUGCUACCUAUGUUCUCCCAUUAAAAAAUAUAAACUUUUUAGGGUUUCUUAGCAUAGAAUUAUGCCAAGUGCUCUUUAAAGAUUUUUGUAAAAUGAGGUAAAUGACUACAAUUUACUUUCUCAAUCGAUGUCCUGGUCAAAUUAGUGUUGGACUCAGUGUUCUGGUCAAAUUCUUUCCCCUCAUUCUGCUUUCCUAAAUUUUCCCAGUAGUUUCUGUUUGUGGUACAUAGUAUUCUUUUCCACUGUCUAUCUUAACCUUUUGUGCCCUAUUAAAAAAGCUGCCAUAUUCCAUUUUAGCAGAAGCUACAUUUCAGUGGUGGAUGAAAUGAUUCCAAGAUGAAGCUUUAAGCUUUGUUUUCUUCAGCAAGAAAGGAACAAUAUAUAGUAGUAACAUGAUUUUUACAUUUGCUAUCAGAUAAUAGCCUUAACUGAAGUAGCAAUAAUAAUAGUUUUCCAGCUUGUAUGUAUGACAUUCUUUAACGGACAGUUUUUUGACCAUGUGUAUCUCUGUGACA